rnacentral:ncRNA from 2 species
AUCGGGGUAGGACCCAAAGCGUUAAGUGCCGCCGGAACGGAAUGUGAACGACGGACGAAAAAUCAGCUAACCGCACUGAAAGGAUAGGUGUAACUUGCUGAUUUGCGGUUUUGGGUCCGCAUUCGCCGCA